UACGUAGGGGGCAAGCGUUGUCCGGAUUUAUUGGGCGUAAAGAGCGUGUAGGCGGUUAGGUAGGUCCGUUGUGAAAACCCGAGGCUCAACCUCGAGACGUCGGCGGAAACCAUCUGGCUAGAGUCCGGAAGAGGAGAAUGGAAUUCCUGGUGUAGCGGUGAAAUGCGCAGAUAUCAGGAAGAACACCCGUGGCGAAGGCGGUUCUCUGGGACGGUACUGACGCUGAGACGCGAAAGCGUGGGGAGCGAACAGG
rnacentral:rRNA from 1 species